GUAGGGGCCAAGCGUUAUCCGGAUUUAUUGGGGCGUAAAGAGCUCGUAGGCGGCUUGGCAAGUCGGUCGUGAAAGUCCGAGGCUCAACCUCGGGAAUGCCGGGUCGAAACUGCCAUGGCUAGGGUUCGGUAGAGGAGAGUGGAAUUCUCGGUGUAGCGGUGAAAUGCGCAGAUAUCGAGAGGAACACCAGUAGCGAAGGCGGCUCUCUGGGCCGAUACCGACGCUGAGGAGCGAAAGCGUGGGGAGCAAACAGGAUUAGAUACCCUGGUAGUCCACGCCGUAAACGGUGAUCACUAGGUGUGGUGGACUCAUUGACGUCUGCUGUGCCGGCGCUAACGCAUUAAGUGAUCCGCCUGGGGAGUACGGCCGCAAGGCUA
rnacentral:rRNA from 1 species